rnacentral:rRNA from 1 species
GACGAACGCUGGCGGCGUGCUUAACACAUGCAAGUCGAACGGAAAGGCCCUGCUUUUGUGGGGUGCUCGAGUGGCGAACGGGUGAGUAACACGUGAGUAACCUGCCCUUGACUUUGGGAUAACUUCAGGAAACUGGGGCUAAUACCGGAUAGGAGCUCCUUCUGCAUUGUGGGGUUCGUAAAGUUUCGGCGGUUGGGUAUGGACUCGCGGCUUAUCAGUUUGUUGGUGGGGUAGUGGCUUACCAAGGCGUUGACGGGUAGCCGGCCUGAGAGGGUGACCGGCCACAUUGGGACUGAGAUGCGGCCCAGACUACUCCGGGAGGCAGCAGUGGGGAAUAUUGCACAGUGGGCGGAAGCGUGAUGCAGCAACGCCGCGUGCGGGAUGACGGCAUUCGGGUUGUAAACCGCUUUCGCCUGUGACGAAGCGUGAGUGACGGUAAUGGGUAAAGAAGCACCGGCUAACUACGUG